UUAAAAUAUAAAUAUAAAAAUUAGAGUAGUAAUAGUUAUAUUCUUAAAACUUAAAAAAUUUGGCGGUAUUUUAUUCUAUUUAGAGGAAUUUGUUUUAUAAUUGAUAUUCCACAUUGGAUCUUACUUAAAUUUGUUUAAUUUGUAUAUCGUUGUCAUAAGAAUGUCUUUAAAAGGAAAUAAUUUUCUAAUUUAAUAAUUAUUAAUUAUGUCAGAUCAAGGUGCAGUUUAUAUUUAAGUAAAAAUGAAUUACAAUAAAUUUAUUUAUAUGAAUUAAAGAUUUCAAUAUUUUUAUGAAGGUGGAUUUAAUAGUAAAUUUUUAAAGAUUAAAAAAUUGAUUAUAGUUCUAAAAUAUGU
rnacentral:rRNA from 1 species